UUCGGCCUGCACCAGCGAAAAAGUGUUCCUUUUUGUUCUGCAGCCCACGGCCCGUUCUACCUUCAGACCAAUCUGAGCCCAUUUAGCAAGGACCAACUUCAGGCCCACGGAAAAAUAGUUGUAAAGAUUUAAAGGGCGCUCACUCUCUCUCCUAACUGCUCUCCCUCUCCAACUGACUGACUCUCUCUCACACUCUCUCCAACUAAGAGGCUGUUCGGGUUGUGUUGUCUUGAUUUAUUUCGACUUAUUUCGACUUAUUUUCUCUCACAAAAUAUUAUUCAUUCUACCAGUCUUACACUAUUCAACCAGUCUUACACUAUUCAUACGAUCAGCGGAAUAGGCUCUAACUUUGUCGAUCUCAAAAGAAAGAAAAAGAACUACCAUUUCGUCUCGUUUGAAGUCGAUCGCUAAGCUAACUGAAGUCCAUCAUCUUGUUUUAUCGGAACCCUGUCUAUCCCCCGCAUCAUUCCCACGGCACAGCUGACCAUUUUAAUUUCCUGGCACUUUCCUCUUCGAUUCCCAGCCCAGCACCUCCAACAAUACCCCGCGCGCCACCCCUUUUUCCCCUCCUCCCUUAAAGCCCCCCGCCUGUCCAACGCCAAACCCUCGAGAGGUCGAGGUGCAAGAAGACCUGAAUUGUCCGCCUCACAGGCCAGGCAAUUCUCGGGACCAACUGAUCGAUCGGCGAUCAGGACCAGUCGUCGGCGGGUGUUCGAGAUCCAUUCGGUUCGUUCCUCCGAUCCCGCACCAUGGCCGCCGCUGGGGACAACGAUGCUGCCCUCGACGACGUCGCUGCCAUCGCGGACCACCACGGCGGAGCGGGCUUUCGCCGCCGCCUCCGAGCGGCGGCCGUCUGCUUCGCGAUCUGGGGGGCCGCCGGGAUCUUGUCCACCACCGCCCCCGGCAUCGCAGAGAACCCGCCACACCGAGCCAUGGUAUCCUUUAUCAUUUUCAUAGUCGGCGUCCUCCUGCUUCUGCUCUCCAUCGCCGCUCCGGACGAUCUGCCCUAGCUGGAGAGAGGGCGCGCGGCGAGUGUUGCCUCCAGGGCCUUCCCAGCCUCCCAGCUGGGCCAUGCUAGCUCUCUAGAUCGAGGAGGCACGUGCGCGCAAUCAUCACAAGAGCCACAAGCUUCACAAAAUUAUAUACUAGUAUUUGCUUUGCUUGAUCAUCGGCCUGUGUGAGCUAGAACUGCUGCGUUGUCGAUUAUUUCCCAAGUAUUGCUGCUGAAUACUGUAUAUUUGCCCUAUGAUGUACUUUUGUACGAGUGUAUGUUGUGUGUUUGAUUGAACUGCGCUUUGGUCCUAUAGCCAAGCUAAGACUACCCUUCCAAAUUCACCUGAAUUUGCUGUGUUUUUUAGGCAACAAUCCAGCUGCCUACUAUACGUAUAGCAGUCCAGUUGUUUAAUGUGCAGUUGAGUUCUAAUGCUAUUACAUACUGUUUCAUGCUGGAUACAAACAGAUGCAAGAAGGUAGUACAAAUAGUGGCACUAUAUAAAUAAAUGAGCACAUGAAAAGCAGCUCUUGGGUUGAUCAGUGGUGCAGCUAUAGCUAUGUAGUAUAUGUGCAACCAUGAUCAUAUGACGAUUAACCUUUGGUCUCAUAUCAUGGUUAGUAGAAAGUAUGCCCCUUUAGCUUCCUAGCUGCAACUGCAAGCAUGGAGAAUUGCAUGGAUGCAAAAUGUCCGCUAAUUUUUCCUUUUUCAAAACAAGAUGAAUGCUGUCGUACGUUA